rnacentral:misc_RNA from 1 species
GAUGAAGAACGCAGCAAAAUGCGAUAAGUAAUGUGAAUUGCAGAAUUCAGUGAAUCAUCGAAUCUUUGAACGCACAUUGCGCCCGCCAGUAUUCUGGCGGGCAUGCCUGUUCGAGCGUCAUUUCAACCCUCAAGCACAGCUUGGUGUUGGGACUCGCGUUAAUUCGCGUUCCUCAAAUUGAUUGGCGGUCACGUCGAGCUUCCAUAGCGUAGUAGUAAAACCCUCGUUACUGGUAAUCGUCGCGGCCACGCCGUUAAACCCCAACUUCUUAAUGUUGACCUCGGAUCAGGUAGGAAUACCCGCUGAACUUAAGCAUAUCAAUAAGCGGAGGA